rnacentral:lncRNA from 1 species
UUUCAAUAUGUAGUCGAUCUUGAAAAUGACUACUGAUGUAUCUUGCGUUCUUUUUUUCAGGCUAAUUCUUUGAACUUUGGCGUGUAUUUUACACUUACAGCACAUCUCAAUCAGACCAGCCACAUUGCAAGUGCUCCAUAGGCACAUGUGGCAGGUGGCCACCGAGGUGGACAGCACAGCCCGAACAGAGUCCUUUCUGUUACUCUUCAGAAACAAUAGCUUUCUCCAUUCAGGACCACACUCCUGCAUGCCCUCUCCACCGCAUCAGCACCUGCGCCAUGGUUCACAGGUGGCCUUGGGAUUGUAAGGCAAGCGCUGUGCUUCUGUUCGCUUGCAGAGAGCCCUGAACUCAUGCUUCUGUCUGGGCAGCGGCCCUUGACAGCUGGGGCUCGCUCUUUCCUUCCCAGGGCGCCAUGGUUGGAUGCUGUAUCUUGCUAAAGUCAAACUUUCUACUUCGAAAAACUUUACAAAACUUCACAAAGGCAGAUUUUCUCUUACUUUUUAAAAACAGGUCUGUCAUUUCUUAAUUUUCUCUCUGGUACAUUUUCCAGCCAUUGUUUUGCUAAUAAUAGCUCUAAGCAUGCAAAUAAAGCUCAGUGGUAGUGGUAGAUUUGGGAAAUUGCUGCUAGCUUCCUCACAGCCUUAUCCUGCUCCUGUCAGCCAUUUCCCCAAGAAAAUGGACGUUUCAUCAGCACCAGGCUGCAUCUUAUUUGUGUAGCUUAUCAGCUACCGCCUCCUUCCAGGCCCAGAGAGAAGACAGAAACCUACAGGCUGCCCGCAAUGGCCCAGGAGGCGGGGUUUCCACCAGGAAGCAGCGCCUUUAUGAAUUAAGCACGUGACGCAUCUCAGCGUGGCCACGUCUGUAAGGUGAUAUGGAAGUUGUUUCUAAAUAUUGAACCUUCACGACGAAGGAAGAAAGCUACAAGGAAUGAACCCUCUUGUGGAGGCGAGAAAACCUUUCUCUGCGGUGUUGCUGGAUUUGCUCCUGGAAUCAGCGGCCUCUGUAGCUUUCUGCAGUGUUUGGUGUGAGGCAGGCAGUUUUGAACUGUGCCCUCUUAACAACGGCAGAUGUGCCCCAGGGCCAGCGAUGCUACAGCCUUCAAAAGAGAUUUCCCCAGAGCAGAACUGCAGUGACCAACCCAGGGCAGACCCUGUGUUUGGAGCCUGUCUCCACCGCUGCCCGCCCCCAGCAGCAGCCAUCUCGGGGUCUGCAGCAUUCGCUCUGCAACCACCUUGGAUGUGGCCACUUCUCUGCCCCUCCCUUUGCCCACUCUGCUUCUGACCAUCCUGCAGCUGAUUUAGAAUAGCAAAGAGUCCUAGAAAGCUUGGUCCUGGGGCGUGUCAAUGGAAGAGCUCUACCCUAGAGUACCAGGCUGCCGUGCCAGACGAGCUGCACUGUGGGAGCUCUGCAAAGCGAAACAGGAUGUUCCCUCUCAGACUGGAACCAGGAAUCAUUGUAUUUAAAAGCACAGCUGCCGUUUAAUAUUCUUUGAACAAGCCGCCAUGUUCUUAGUGUGAUAUGAAGCAUCUACGUGUGGUGGCAUUUGAAAAGAUAUUCGUUUUUAUAGGAACCAGUUACUGCUGAUCCUUGAGUUGAGGACUGUACGGAAAAGGGUAGAGGGAUUCUUGGUGUUUUAACUUUUGCUGAGAAAAAUGCUGCGUGGAUUGCCAAGAUGGUGAUCCUGAAAAACCAUUUACAAUAUUCAAUUAACAAUAAUUAAGGCACUCAGUGGGAAGUUCCUCGCCGACUUGCUAAAUAGCGAAAAUCGGUACUUGGUGUUCCCAGUGGAUAAGAGAAAAGAUAAUAAGUACCCCAAAUGUAAAGACAAUUGAAAC